AGUGAACGCUGGCGGUAGGCCUAACACAUGCAAGUCGAACGGCAGCACAGUAAGAGCUUGCUCUUACGGGUGGCGAGUGGCGGACGGGUGAGGAAUACAUCGGAAUCUACCUUUUCGGGGGGGAUAACGUAGGGAAACUUACGCUAAUACCGCAUACGACCUACGGGUGAAAGCAGGGGAUCUUCGGACCUUGCGCGAUUGAAUGAGCCGAUGUCGGAUUAGCUAGUUGGCGGGGUAAAGGCCCACCAAGGCGACGAUCCGUAGCUGGUCUGAGAGGAUGAUCAGCCACACUGGAACUGAGACACGGUCCAGACUCCUACGGGAGGCAGCAGUGGGGAAUAUUGGACAAUGGGCGCAAGCCUGAUCCAGCCAUACCGCGUGGGUGAAGAAGGCCUUCGGGUUGUAAAGCCCUUUUGUUGGGAAAGAAAAGCAGCAGGUUAAUACCCCGCUGUUCUGACGGUACCCAAAGAAUAAGCACCGGCUAACUUCGUG
rnacentral:rRNA from 1 species